rnacentral:rRNA from 1 species
GGAAUAUUGGUCAAUGGGCGCGAGCCUGAACCAGCCAAGUAGCGUGCAGGACGACGGCCCUACGGGUUGUAAACUGCUUUUAUCAGGGGAUAAAGUGCGGGACGUGUCCCUCAUUGCAGGUACCUGAUGAAUAAGGACCGGCUAAUUCCGUGCCAGCAGCCGCGGUAAUACGGAAGGUCCGGGCGUUAUCCGGAUUUAUUGGGUUUAAAGGGAGCGCAGGCGGAAGCUUAAGCGUGACGUGAAAUGUAGCCGCUCAACGGCUGAGUUGCGUCGCGAACUGGGUUUCUUGAGUGAGUGCGACGUCAGCGGAAUUCGUGGUGUAGCGGUGAAAUGCUUAGAUAUCACGAAGAACCCCGAUUGCGAAGGCAGCUGACGAGCCCUUUACUGACGCUAAAGCUCGAAGGUGCGGGUAUCGAACA